rnacentral:rRNA from 1 species
AUUGAACGCUGGCGGCAGGCCUAACACAUGCAAGUCGAGCGAGCGGCGGACGGGUGAGUAAUGUCUGGGGAACUGCCUGAUGGAGGGGGAUAACUACUGGAAACGGUAGCUAAUACCGCAUACCAUCAGAUGUACCCAUAUGGGAUUAGCUAGUAGGUGGGGUAACGGCUCACCUAGGCGAUGAUCCCUAGCUGGUCUGAGAGGAUGAUCAGCCACACGUGAACUGAGACACGGCCCAGACUCCUACGGGAGGCAGCAGUGGGGAAUAUUGCACAAUGGGCGCAAGCCUGAUGCAGCCAUGCCGCGUGUAUGAAGAAGGCCCUAGGGUUGUAAAGCACUUUCAGCGGGGAGGCGUUACCCACAGAAGAAGCACCGGCUAACUCCGUGCCAGCAGCCGCGGUAAUUC